rnacentral:rRNA from 1 species
GCAGCACGGGAGCAAUCCUGGUGGCGAGUGGCGAACGGGUGAGUAAUGUAUCGGAACGUGCCCAGUCGUGGGGGAUAACGUAGCGAAAGCUACGCUAAUACCGCAUACGAUCUGUGGAUGAAAGCGGGGGACCGCAAGGCCUCGCGCGAUUGGAGCGGCCGAUAUCAGAUUAGGUAGUUGGUGGGGUAAAGGCCUACCAAGCCGACGAUCUGUAGCUGGUCUGAGAGGACGACCAGCCACACUGGGACUGAGACACGGCCCAGACUCCUACGGGAGGCAGCAGUGGGGAAUUUUGGACAAUGGGCGCAAGCCUGAUCCAGCAAUGCCGCGUGCAGGAUGAAGGCCUUCGGGUUGUAAACUGCUUUUGUACGGAGCGAAAAGGCUUCCACUAAUACUGGAGGCUCAUGACGGUACCGUAAGAAUAAGCACCGGCUAACUACGUGCCAGCAGCCGCGGUAAUACGUAGGGUGCAAGCGUUAAUCGGAAUUACUGGGCGUAAAGCGUGCGCAGGCGGUCUUGUAAGACAGGUGUGAAAUCCCCGGGCUUAACCUGGGAACUGCACUUGUGACUGCAAGGCUGGAGUACGGCAGAGGGGGAUGGAAUUCCGCGUGUAGCAGUGAAAUGCGUAGAUAUGCGGAGGAACACCGAUGGCGAAGGCAAUCCCCUGGGCCUGUACUGACGCUCAUGCACGAAAGCGUGGGGAGCAAACAGGAUUAGAUAUCCUGGUAGUCCACGUCCUAAACGAUGUCAACUGGUUGUUGGGUCUUCACUGACUCAGUAACGAAGCUAACGCGUGAAGUUGA